UCUGAGGUUUUGUGUGUGGAUGGAUGGUACCAGUGUCUGGGCUAAAACACAUAUAAAACAUGUGGUAAGCCUGCAGUGCAGAACCCUUAGGGCGAUCACUUCUAGCAAUGAGAGAAUAGUUUGGGCUCCAUCCCCGAUCAGUCCUUGGUCUCUGCUGAGUGGCUAACUAUGUUGGCAGAUUUUGUGGUGUGGAUACUUGUCCACUGGAACAGGACUGAGGCCACCAAACAGCCACCAGAAGAUAAUAAGUUUUAGUCACUACCAAUCUGGGCUGAAUAGCGACAAGAUCUAUUCCACUGAAUUCCCACAAGAAAAUAAAUCUUUUUGUUGUAUGCGGUUAUUUGACAGUCUAGAGGCCACCUGUUUCCACUUAUGUGUUUGUCAGUUACCUGAUGUUUCAGAACAGCAAGGGGAAUUCACUCUGUCUUGAAGGUAUUUUAGUGUAAAAAUGGGAAGAAAAAUAGUCUUGUGGUUAAAACACAAGAAUGGGAGACAAGAGGCCCCACAACAGACUUCCUCUGUGACCCUGUGAAAAUCAGUUACCCUUUCUGUGCCACACUUUCUCCAUCAGUAAAAACGGGUUUUGAUUAUUGAAUUCAUUAAUAUUUAUGAAAUGCUUCAGUUAUUGUUAAUUCCUCCCCUCCCCUUUAACUUCCAAGAAACUCAGUGGUAGAUUCCCCCCACCCUCAAUAUUUGGAAACUAAAAGUCAUUCCUUCGAUUUGGGCUUAAUCAAGUUGUGCCUCUUUACAAGAUUAUUUAAAUAUAUAAGAGUAAUAACAAUCAAAUUAAGCCUGACAAUUUAAGCUUGGCUCUUGCUAUGAUAUCUUCAGGGAGACAUGUUUGUUUUCUGUCCAAUGCAGUGAGUGAAGUCUGAAUAUGAGCACAAAUAUUUAGCCUUAUCUCAGAGUUACAGGCAGUGGGAGGUAACUGAAGCAUAUUUCUUUAUUGACCAAGCUUGUGAAGACCUUGUGCUCAGCUUGAUGGCAUUUAUCUGUUUCAGUAUAUGUAACACAAUAACUUUUGAACACCACAUCUGAUCAAUUCCUAAAUUUCAUAGAAUGUUCCAGACACAGGGAGCACCUGCCACCUGACUGACACAGCCAGAGCUUCAUGCACCUCUUCACUUGUCUCUGUAUAACACUAUUGGAUGAUGGCACCUAUUCAUGGCUUCCAGCAUAACAAUACCCCUUCUCAUCUUGACCUAUGCUCGCAAUAGAGAUUAACAUUUUGAUAACUCAUUCAAGAGACCAGGGAAGAAAAUGCACCACUGCCCUGACUUCCGUCUUCGGCCGAGGAUGGUUGAGAAGGAACUGAGGAGGGUGCGGGGCGCACGCACUCAGGAAGAUUCCAAUGAGACGGGAAAUACCAACUGAGUGCAUGUGUCCCAACCAGGCACUGCUACCGAAAAUCUCCGAUCAAUGGCGCCGGGAUGCACCGUCACCUAGAGUGGAGCACCCACAGGGUCAGCACUCGAAGAACAACUUACUUUUCACCAAAGUCCAUUUUAAAAUUUAUUUAUGUCUGGUCUACACACAGUUUUAAUACUGAUUUAACUAUUUUGGUUUCAAACCAAGACAGUGAUACAAAAAAUGUGUUUACACAAGCCCUUAUUUAAACUGGUACAAACUCCUAAGUAGACACGUUUAUCUCAAUUUAGUUGAAGCCAAUAACUUAAAUGAUUUUAGUUAAACCAGUGCAAGUUGUGUGUGCAAAGCAUAAUGAUAUUUAUUUCACUGUCAACAAUAUUAACUAUUUAAUGACUGGAGCAAUGAUGACCAAUACGUUUACUCACAAAUUUAAACUGUCUUUCCACACUUUCCCAGAUGUCAAAAGGUCCAACUUCAGGAGUGCAGUUUCAGAUUUUUUGGGAGGAGGGACUUUAACUGUGAUUCCAGGGGCAUGGAGGCAUGUGAAAACUCUAGAGUUCUUUUGCAAACAAUAACUUAGAAAUUAGCUGACAGGAGCACUGUACCUAAUUCCUAUAUAAAGAAAGAAAAAAUAUAUACAAACAUAAAUGAAAGCCACAUUUUAUGUUUAUAUUAAAUUUAGAACAAUCAGGAGAUUUAAUACAGCAAAAUAUUCCUAAUCUCAAACCUGGAGAUUUCAGUUCUGGGGCUUUAACACAGAUAUCAGAAACAUAGGUUUGAUACUUUGUACACUAACUUUAGUAGAGAUAAAUAAAAAUAAAUAAAAUCUGCUUAAAAUUU